AUUGAACGCUGGCGGCAUGCCUUACACAUGCAAGUCGAACGGCAGCACGGGAGCAAUCCUGGUGGCGAGUGGCGAACGGGUGAGUAAAGUAUCGGAACGUGCCCAGUCGUGGGGGAUAACGUAGCGAAAGUUACGCUAAUACCGCAUACGAUCUAUGGAUGAAAGCGGGGGAUCGCAAGACCUCGCGCGAUUGGAGCGGCCGAUAUCAGAUUAGGUAGUUGGUGGGGUAAAGGCCCACCAAGCCGACGAUCUGUAGCUGGUCUGAGAGGACGACCAGCCACACUGGGACUGAGACACGGCCCAGACUCCUACGGGAGGCAGCAGUGGGGAAUUUUGGACAAUGGGCGAAAGCCUGAUCCAGCCAUGCCGCGAGCAGGAUGAAGGCCUUCGGGUUGUAAACUGCUUUUGCACGGAACGAAAAGGACUGCCCUAAUACGGUGGUCCCAUGACGGUACCGUAAGAAUAAGCACCGGCUAACUACGUGCCAGCAGCCGCCGUAA
rnacentral:rRNA from 1 species